AUAAUUUUUCAGGGCGGGGCGAAAAUCCCCACCGGUGGUAUAGCCCACGAGCCUUUUGGCAUGAUUUGGUGAGAUUCCAAAGCCGACAGUAUAGUCUGGAUGUGAGAAGAAUUUA
rfam:Roseburia sp. CAG:303 genomic scaffold, scf499